rnacentral:rRNA from 1 species
AGUGAACGCUGGCGGUAGGCCUAACACAUGCAAGUCGAACGGCAGCACAGUAAGAGCUUGCUCUUACGGGUGGCGAGUGGCGGACGGGUGAGGAAUACAUCGGAAUCUACUUUUUCGUGGGGGAUAACGUAGGGAAACUUACGCUCAUACCGCAUACGACCUACGGGUGAAAGCAGGGGAUCUUCGGACCUUGCGCGAUUGAAUGAGCCGAUGUCGGAUUAGCUAGUUGGCGGGGAAAAGGCCCACCAAGGCGACGAUCCGUAGCUGGUCUGAGAGGAUGACCAGCCACACUUGAACUGAGACACGGUCCAGACUCCUACGGGAGGCAGCAGUGGGGAAUAGUGGACAAUGGGCGCAAGCCUGAUCCAGCCAUGCCGCGUGGGUGAAGAAGGCCUUCGGGUUGUAAAGCCCUUGUGGUGGGAAAGAAAAGCAUCAGGUGAAUACCCCGCUGUUCUGACGGUACCCAAAGAAUAAGCACCGGCUAACUUCGUG